rnacentral:tRNA from 1 species
GGGCUAGUAGCUUAGUGGUAAAGCGUACGCUUGAUAAGCGUAAGAGCGAAAGUUCAAUCCUUUCCUAGCCCA